GUCUCCUUAGCUCAGUUGGUAGAGCAACUGACUCUUAAUCAGUGGGUCCAGGGUUCGAAUCCCUGAGGGGACACCA
rnacentral:tRNA from 1 species